rnacentral:tRNA from 1 species
GCCUUCGUGGUUUAGUGGUCAGCACGCUCGACGCGUAACCGAGAGGUCCGUGGUUUGGUUCCCGACGAAGGCG